UACAGAGGGUGCAAGCGUUGCUCGGAUUUACUGGGCGUAAAGCGUACGCAGACGGCCACGCAGGUCGGGUGUGAAAGCCCCGGGCUCAACCCGGGAAUUGCAUUCGAAACCAUGUGGCUCGAGUGUGGGAGAGGAAAGUGGAAUUCCUGGUGUAGAGGUGAAAUUCGUAGAUAUCAGGAGGAACACCGGCGGCGAAGGCGGCUUUCUGGGUCCACAACUGACGUUCAGGUACGAAAGCGUGGGGAGCAAACAGG
rnacentral:rRNA from 1 species